rnacentral:lncRNA from 1 species
UCCAUCUCAGAUCCCAUAGUUGUGCUGGGUGAUAAGCUAAAAAGUAGUAAUAUGUCCAACAAGUUAGAGAAGGGGAAGUCAGGCAAUAAAUUUGGGUGGUCUAGUGACACUAUUGACAAUGAACACUUGGGCCAUCGCUCAUCCAAAUGUUGUUUUGUUUAUGAAAAGCAACAUGCUUUUGGUGAAAGCUCCUCAGAAAGUGAAAAAGAAUAUGAAGACAACGGUGAUGUACUCUGUGCUUGGGGUCAUCAAAAGGGAAGACACAGCGAUCUUUCAAGCAGCCUGGUUAAUACUUCAUCUUCAAAACCUCAAGACCCAUCUAAAUCCCUUCCUUCCUCUAUCAUUGACUAA